GACGAACGCUGGCGGCGUGCUUAACACAUGCAAGUCGAACGGAAAGGCCCCUUUGGGGGUACUCGAGUGGCGAACGGGUGAGUAACACGUGAGUAACCUGCCCUUGACUUCGGGAUAACUUCAGGAAACUGGGGCUAAUACCGGAUAGGAAUCCUUGCUGCAUGGUGGGGGUUGGAAAGCUUCGGCGGUUUUGGAUGGACUCGCGGCUUAUCAGCUUGUUGGUGGGGUAGUGGCUUACCAAGGCUUUGACGGGUAGCCGGCCUGAGAGGGCGACCGGCCACAUUGGGACUGAGAGACGGCCCAGACCCCUACGGGAGGCAGCAGUGGGGAAUAUUGCACAAUGGGCGGAAGCCUGAUGCAGCAACGCCGCGUGCGGGAUGACGGCCUUCGGGUUGUAAACCGCUUUCAGCAGGGGCGAAGCUUGUGGUGACGGUACCUGCAGAAGAAGCACCGGCUAACUACGUG
rnacentral:rRNA from 1 species